AAUCACCCUGAGUGAGGUAACCCAAACCCAGAAAGACAAACAUGGUAUCUAUGCAUUUACUUAUAAGUGGAUAUUAGCCAUUAAGUAAAUGAUAAUGAAGCUAUAAUCAGUACACUCAGAGAGGUGAGACAAAAGGGAGGAGUCCGUGGGGGAUGCUUUGCUUAUUUUCGCCUUCUUGCUUUCCUUCAGGCUCCACGAUGCUGAGGAGGUUGACAACAAAACAGUAUAAUAAGAUCUGGAACUGAUUUCAUCUCCAUCCUUCCUAGUUUUCCUGGAGAACCCGGGGAGAUGACCCUAGAAGCCCAGACUCCAGGUUACCACAUCUGUCUCGACAGGACACUAUGUCUGUCAUUCCUCUAUUUGCUCUUCUGCUGAGACAGAAAAAUAGUUCCUGUCCUGACUCCGAAGCCCAGCAGUGAGUGAUGGAUGAACCCAGGCUUCAUGAUGUCCGUGCCUCUCCACCCACCUGCCUCCUCCUUUAUCACAUCCCAGAACUCACUCACAGCACAAUGUACUUUUACAUGUUUUUAUUAAUCCCAAAGAUUCAUGAUUGAUAUAAAAUUUAUUAGAGCAAAUUAAAAUUAUUACACAACUUAAUUUUGACUUUGAGGAGAUUCCGGAAGGGAAUUGUUUUCCUUGACAACUUAAUAAAAUAACUCAUUGGUUGUUAGUGCACUGCAUCGAGGGUGGGAGUGUUCGCACAGCAGGAUUGCUCCCGGGCCUCAGUUAUAAACCUCUGCACCUUCAGUCGCCAGCCCAGGGCAUGAAAGUUACCGGAAAGUUUUAAUUUAAUUUUUAAGGAAUAUGUUUAUCAUUUUAGUCAUAUAGAAAACUUUUCAAACUCAAUGACUAAUUUCCAAAGUUGUUAUAACAAGCUCCAAAACAAAGAAUUAUAUUAAAAUUGAAAUAUGAAUUCUCUCAAUCAAGAAACACUUCUAUUGUGUAUAAUUCUAAAAUUUUCAACCACUUGUAAUUUGAUCCAUGAGGGGUAUAAUCAUAUGAACUUUUGUGAAUGUCUUUAUGAGACACCAAUGCUUAAGGAAAAUUAUACUAAAUCCAUUGUCUUUUUUAACACUGGGAGUGACAGGAUGUGCAUGUGUUAGAAACCAUCUUAUUCACAAAGACCGCAGGAGGAAAGCAGAAGGCUGCUUGGGGCUCUAUUUGUAUAUCUCAGGCAUGGGCCACCAUGUCAGAACUUUGUGACUUCUUAUUUCAUAAUAGGACUUCUCCAUGGAAAGAAAUCUUAAGGCACAAAGGCCUCAUAGUCAUCUUUGGAGACAACAAUGUAAGACCCAGGCACAAUCUGGUUUUUCAGGGCAAAAGCCCAAAAGUUGAGCCCACUUUAGGGCAUCAUUGAGAGGAAAACAUCCUUGGGUGCCACUGGCAUUAAGAAGAGAGCUUUCCAGGAGUUGGCCUGGGUCCAAGGUGCAGGGAGGAGUGGGAUGUGCUCCCAUGUCACCUAAUGGGGGUGGUAUUUCACUUGGCUGGAGUCCCACCUUACGCCUGGCCAAACACACAUAUUGGAUGCCGUAUUAGUUAAGGGUUUCUUGAGAACACAACCAAUAGCACAUGCAGACAUACAUUCGCACAUAUAUUUUGGGAACUGGAUCAUAUAACUAUAAAGUCCAAAAGUCCCAUAGUUCACUAGUCAAAACGGAGAGGGCUGGCAGGUGGCAGAGCUGGCACUGAGGUCAUAAGAACUGGACAGCUGCCUGGCACCUCACCAGCUGGAGCACUCGGGACAGCAGGCCCAGCACCUCGCCUGGGCAGCACAUUAGAGCUGACCCUGUUGGCAGGGGUGUGGGUGAGCCAGCCCUAAGAACAUGAGCAGGAGCCCCUCACCAACUGUGGCAGGUGGGAGAGCUAGCCGUGAGGUCAUGAGAAUGAGAAAGCUGGCCCUGCCCCCACCAGCUGCAGCACUGAGCAGAACGGCUCCUGUACCUUGCCUGGGUAACACAAUAGAGCGGACCCUGAUGGUGUAGGUGUGGGUGAGCCAAUCCUGAAGGCAUGAAAGCAGGAGAACCAGCCCAGCACUUUGCGUCUUGCUGCAAGGGGUGAACUAGCCAGGGCCGUGCUGGAGAGCACACUCUGGUAGUGAAGAUAGGAGAACUGGCUGGCUGACCAAUCCUGCAACUACCCAGGUCCAGAACCUGGGUUAUGAGUUGGCCCACCCCAACAUCCAUCUUAUCUAUGAUCUGCAUAUAAAGGGGCUGGUCCUACAGAUCCAAAGCUGCAGGAUCUUCAUGACACAGUGCAACAACAGGCUAUCCAAGAGAAGCCCUAGUGACAGCCCCGUAUCAAUAGUGUAGCAGAAACCAGAGGCCUUGAACCAGACCAAUGACUCAUUGCAACGAACACUUGCAAGGAAAGAUGUGUGGACUAAAGGGUAAAUAAACUGUGACUCACUGGGGCACACUGCAGCUUCCACGAAGAGACUUUCCUUUUUUCCUUUUCUUUUAAGUUUUAUUUUAUCUUAUCUUGUCGGGUUGGUUGCAAGGGCAGAGGGUGGACAUGAAGGGAUGGGGAGAUGAAUGGGAUCGAGAUUCAAGAUGUGAAAUCUACAAAGGACCAAUAAAAAGUUAAAUUAGAAAAAAACAGGGCGUGGAGUGGGUGACUGUUAGUCCUGAGUGUCAAUGCCUAGAAACCAGGAGCUCUAAUGUUUAAGAGCAGGUAUCCCAGCUCAAGUGGUGCUCAAGAGGAGAGCUGUCCUUCCCCGCCUGUUCAUUCUAGUCUGACCCUCAAUUGGUGGGAUGGGGACCAUCUAUACCUGUGAGGGUAGAUCAUUUGUACUCAGUCUACUCAUUUAAAUACUUACAGCUUCCAGAACAAUGUUUUACUAAGUUUCUGGGUCAAGUAGCACUUCAAAUUAACUGUUAGAGGUUGACCUCAUUCAGCAAAGUAUACUGGUUUGCUUACUUUCCAAAUAAAGACAAUCCAGGCCCACACAAUACUAGUAUCCUGCCCAUGGCCAGAGAUGUACUAACGCCUUCUCUAGCAGAUGCAAAGUCCUGGAAGGAUUUGACUUUUCUGAUGAUCCAUGAAUUCAAUACCAUGAUGUUUAAUCAACAAUACGUAAAUACGGACAUAAAACAACACAUUGUGCACUACCUCAGAAGAGUGUCAGAACAAACUCGUUUCCACCCCACUGCCCCUGCUUCUAGGUAGAGUUGAGUUCUAGUUUAGUUCUGCCUGAUUUAUGAGUCAUUCUGCACUCAAAAAAAUUCUACUGAAUUUGCUUUGUUUGAAGAUUCCCCCAAUAACACAGAUUACAGUUUAAACCUCUGGGGGACGGAUAUGAAAUGAUGCAAUCUGUCCGCUGUGUUCCAGGCACACAGCAGAGCCUCUGCCAGUCUGUCAGGCCACAGAGGCAACUGUCCCACACUGUCAUCUUCUCAGGCAGCCAUUGCUCUCUUACAUGUCUUCACUUUGGUUUCCUUUAUAGCAGCAGAAAAACAAGACUUUUUCUUUUCCCAACAGGGGACGUCAGUUUUGUUUGUGUUAUUCUGUCGGUGCCAUUGUUGAUGAGGUUAAGAUCACAGAAGAGGCUUUGCUGACCGGGACUGUCACAGUGCCUGGACACCUCUGCCUCCUGGAGCUCUGCAUCCCUGAUUCCAGGGUGCAUCCAUGCCAGGCAGGAACACCCUGAAAGGUGAAGAUUCAAGCUUCCAGGUCCAUUCCUUCACUGGCAGUAGAGCCGACUUCUUCAGGAUUCCAGCAUCUACUGAAGACCAGCUGAGACAUCCAGCCUCAUGAACUGAACAAUUACUGGACUUUCUAUUGGUAGAUAGCCACUGUUGGACUAGCUGGACCAUGGCCUGUUCAGUUAACAUUGAUGCUGGAACAUACCAGAAAAUGCUUACAUCUGACAGGAGCAAGAAUGGAGUCCAAGCUCUUUUCAAGCUUUAGAAGUAUUUUCCUUCCAGGAAGACGACAUGUCCAAUCCUUAUUUUUGCAGAUGUUUUGUGGUUUUUUUGGCGGGAGAGGAGUGAGUGUUCAUUUGUUUUUGCGACAAGGUUUCUCUCUGGCUGUACUGGAACUCUCUCUGUAGAUACCAGGCUGGCCUUGAACUCACAGAGAUCCUCUGCCUCCUGAGUGCUGGGAUUAAAGGCGUGUGCCACCACUGCCUCGUGCUUUGUGGGAUUUUUUUUACAUUUCUACUGUAAGCCUCUGUACACAGCUGAAUGUUAGCUGAGGAAGAACUCAUCACUCCAAAUUCUCUGUUAGAAGAUAUUAGAUCUUUUCCUCAGCCUCACACUGGGGUCCAGAAAGAUGGUCUUCAAUUUUGUUCCCUUGCACUUGUUCUAGAAUUUUAUCUAUAUGUGAAUUCAUUUUCCAAAGGGAUGCUUUGUUACAUUAUUGAUUAAUAAGGAAAACCGGUUUUUGCCAUCCAGCUCUCUGAAAUUAAGAGUUUUAUUGGAUUUUAAGUUUUAUUGAAUUUUUCAUAUUUUGUCUUUAUUUCUACUGAGAAAGAAAGACAGGGAAAUUUUGGGCAGUAUAAGAGGGGAGAGAGAGAGAGAGAGAGAGAGAGAGAGAGAGAGAGAGAGAGAGAGAGAGAGAGAGAGAGUCCUAGCCCAGGAAUGAGGCUGACUCUUCUCACCAUCAGAGAAGCAGCACAAUUAACAGCUGCUCAUGGCUCUUCUCUCACUGCAGCUGCAAACCUGCAAUUGUCUAUGAAUGUCUCUAGAAAUUCUAUUUAGAGGGAAAGAACAAACACUAAAGGUUGUGAGGGUGGCAGCAUGGAGCUGUGUCUCUGUCUCCUUGCCACUGAUGUUCACACAUAGUUAGCUCUCCAUCAUUGUUCAGAAAGAUGCUGUACAUCAGUGCAGGUCUAAGGGUGUGUGUCCAGGAUGGUGAGGUUUAUGCCCACCCAAGUAAUCAUCAUGUUUCAGAUAUCCCAACUACCCACCCGAUAUGUUGCUUGCUCUCCAGCAGAUGGUCAGUAAGCAUCACUGAUUUAGCAAAUGAAUGAAUGAGAUUCCAGUCUUUCACUGUUAUUUAUUUUUCAUAGUUGAGAAUAAAUACACUCCUGUUCUUGGUUCUCAAGUUCUGGUUUCUUUAGGAGAAAGAAAUGAUUUAAAUAACAGCGUCAGCAACAGAAUAAGACAAUCUUGGGCUUCAGGUGUGGCUCAGUGGCCAAGAAUGGAUCUAGCCCAGAUAAGACCUGGAUUCCAUCUCAGCACUGCAUAAAUAAACAAAAACAAAGCCAGACAAAUCUUUGAGGGUUAUAGCAACAAGUAUCAGGGAAGAGUGCUGUCUCCAAGAAGCAGGAGCAGCAACAAAAAGAAUUCUGUCUUCUAAAAUAAUUUUAUGUUGACCAGAACCUAACCUUGGCAUGCCUACAUGUCUCUUAGAAUAACAAUGGAAAGGGUCUUUCCUGUCGGGAUUGUUAGCCGUGUGUGUAUGUGCAUAUGCAUGUGGCUAAAAGCAUGGGUGUAUAAUAUAUUUUUACAUCAUGAGAAUCAAGAUGAGCCUGGUUGUCCUCUGCCAGAAAACAGUUCUGAUGCUGACUCACUGCCUGAGGAGCUGGGGGGUCAAGCACAGUGAUUUGGAUGACAGUCUUUCCUACUUACUGUGACCAGCACAGCUCAUUUGUAGACUGGGUUGUAUUUCCAAUAAAUUCCCCCAGUUGGCAAACAAUAACUCCAAAAUUCAGUAGGGCAGUGUUUUAGUCAGUGUUCUAUUGCUGUGAAGAGACACGAUGACCAUGGUAACCCUUACAAAGGAAAGCAUUUAAUUAGGGCCUGCUUACAUUCAAAGGUUUAAUCCGUUAUCAUCAUGGUGGGAAGCAUGGUGGUGCUUGAGUAGACAUUGUGAAGGCAAUAUGAAGGCCUAGACUUGACUUUACAGACUCCAUCUUAGGGAAGGGACACUGGCUUAGAUCACCUGGUGAUGGAAGGUUGUACUCAGUUCCAGGAAGAAUCUCAGAAACGUGCCGGGACAACAAAACUCGAACUGAUACCCUAGAAGCAGCCAAUUAGUUUCAAAUUGAAAGACCCUAACCCUUCAGGCUUACACCCCCAAGCCCCAGGAAAUGAGAAACUAAAAAUCUAGUUCCAAGGGCAAGCUGACUCAGCCAUUGUUCAACCACCCUUGCCACAA